rnacentral:rRNA from 1 species
AGCAGUCGCCGCGGGAAUACGGAGGGUGCAAGCGUUAAUCGGAAUUACUGGGCGUAAAGCGCACGCAGGCGGUCUGACAAGUCAGAUGUGAAAUCCCCGGGCUUAACCUGGGAACUGCAUUUGAAACUGUCAGGCUGGAGUCUUGUAGAGGGGGGUAGAAUUCCAGGUGUAGCGGUGAAAUGCGUAGAGAUCUGGAGGAAUACCGGUGGCGAAGGCGGCCCCCUGGACAAAGACUGACGCUCAGGUGCGAAAGCGUGGGGAGCAAACAGGAUUAGAUACCCCGGUAGUCCCUGUCUCUUAUAC